UUCCAUUGAGGCCGCCCAGGCGGGGCCGCGUGAGACGAUUGGCUAUGGGCUUGUGUCACUCUCGAGAGCUCAAUGGAGUCCCGUUUCAAGACCUGGGUGAAACUCACAGCAAGAAGAAAGAAAAGCACUUUGAAGAAAUGGAGUCAAGGGGGAAAAGGAAGACUCCACCCCAUCUAGACUAGAUGUAUGAAUAACAGAAGAUUGGGUUUGUAGUCAUCUUCCUUCAACCCCUCCCCUUGUCCCCAGCUCCAUACAGAGAAAUAACCUUUAAAUGAAUACAAUUUGGGGAAAGUAUAAUACUGUUUGAUUUCAUCAGACUUACCUAGGCAGUGAAUUGUCUUUCCUCCUUUUUACCAUGCUCGUAGGUUAAUAUUGAAUUAGUUGCAUAUGCCCAUAUAAUUUCAGUACAUUGAAGUAAAUCUUUACCAUUAUAAUUAUAUAAGUGCCUUCUAACUAGGUGGAAACUAAUACUUUUUUUGGUGCAUGUUUAUAUCCACAAAAAAAGACUUGUAGAUAACUGUGAUAUCUGUAGAUAACCCAAAAUGAUAGGGACAGGUGUGAAAAGCUGGGAGUGAUAUGGAGUAAUAAAAAUCUAGCAUGUGUAUUAUGUAAAGAAAUUACAUGGAAAAUAGUAAACUUGUUCAUUCAAAUGAAAAAUGCUAAAUUCUGUAGAUUCAGUAUUUAUGGUUUUUUUUCAGCUUGGGCAUAGUGACAAAAUAUUAUUCAAAGUAUUGUCAUCCCUAACAUGUUGUCUUUUUAUGUAGGUGAGAUGGACUUAAAUUAUUUAAAAAGUGAAAGUAUCUUAAAAUAUUAUUUUACUUCCUCAUUAAAACAGAUGUUUUUACAUUUUAAAACUUUUAAAUGGAUAGAUGUAUUAUAAGCAACAUGUACUUUUUCAACUUUUAAAAAUAAAAAAUAUUGAUUACAGCCUCUUUAAAACAAGUGAUAUCUGGAUGUAGAUUUCACUUUGAAAUUCAUGUCUCAUAGCUUGAAACAUUAACAAAUACAUACUAUCCUAUGAUUAAUUAAUGAAGCCUAUGUGCAAACAUCUCACUUAAGAAUAAGCAAAAAAUGCAAUCAACCCCUUUUCACUCAUAGUUUGGUAAAAGAAUUAUCCACAACAUCUGAAUUUGCAUUAGAAAGUAUUUAAAAGACAUUUGAAUAUGAUUAAGUUAUAUGAACUCUGACAUAUCUUCCAAGUUCCUGGCAUUAUUUUGAAUUGCAGCAGAAAAGGGAGAGAUGAAGGGAAUGACUGCGAACUUGGAGCAAAAGUGUGAGGUGGAUAAAGUUGCAAAAGAAUAGUUCUCAAAACCGAAAAAGUCAUGAAUUUAAUUAUUUUACUGAAGUUUCUAUAUAAGAGAACAUUUAUUCAUAAGAAUAUGCAAAGCUGUUGUGGAAAAUGUCUUUUAGGAUAAAUAACUCCCUUACACUAGAGGUCCUGGGAGCAAGGGAAGGAGUGAUUUUACAUUUUGUAAUAAAAGUUACUGUAAACUACUUGUAACGUUUUGUAAGUAAAUAAAGAAGUUAAACUAUUAAAAUUAGUUUACAAUGUUUGGCUUAAGGCAGUAAUUUCCAACAGUAAACCUUCUUAGAUGAAUAAAAAUGUUAUGUGUUAGUAUGGUGGAGUAGGGGGUUAUGGUUCAUACUAUUGGAAAUAUGAUAGUUUAAUGUCUGCAUGAGAAAUACAGAUAUCAUAUAUCUUGCUGAUUACUCUUUUAUUUAUUCUUCCUAAAGUAGUAUGUGGACUUGCCUUUCACCGAAAGGGGGGAAAAGUUGUGAAAAUUGACACCAGUGUGAAUUUAUACCGUGGCAACCACGCAAGAGAAAGAGGCAGGAAUUAGCACCAUGGACAGAGACGAGCAGCCCUCAAAUUAAGAUUUGCAAAGCUUGAGACGGUGUUUUCUGUCCCUUUCUGUGAGACACGGAAACUGCGUGUCUUGGGAAUGUUUUAUUCCACGGGACUUUGCGGAAAAGACUGUCCUACUCCACAGAAACUCAUUUAUUUUGAAUUAGGCUGGCAUUUCUUAGGACUCAGCCAUCAUGACAAACUGUCAGGAGACUUAGAGCCCCGAACUCGCUGUGCACCUUCCACUGUCCUGUUUUACAUACACUCCCUUGCCGGCGUGAGCUCGCCUUUCUUCAGAGUGUUCAUGAAAAAUAAAUGCAAAUCCAGGUAGUCUUCGAAAA